rnacentral:tRNA from 1 species
GGAGAAGCCGUGGCUCAGUGGGAGAGCAUCUGUUUUGCAUGCGGAAGAUCCCAGAUUCGAUUGCUGCUACCUCCA